rnacentral:tRNA from 1 species
GUAGAUUUAAUUUAACAAAAAUAUUAGACCGUGACUCUAAAAAUAGAAGUUAAAAUCUUCUAGUCCACC